rnacentral:tRNA from 1 species
UACAUUAAGGUGUUUGGCACGAUAGAUUUUGAUUCUAUAGGAGUAUUUAGUUUACAUAAUGUAA